AAAGCAUGCAAGAUUUCAAUUCACAUACUGAAAUUUUUGAGAAAUACAAUUACCAAGUGUUUGUUUUUCCUUUUCUUUUCUCACAAAGGCCAAGUUAAGGGCAUCGAAGUCGUAGAGGGUAGUUGACCUAGUUACAAAAAUAGCCACACAAAGUGUUAUGAGACUGAUGUGAUGUAAGCCUUGGAAGGCAGUAGAAAACGGUUGUGAUAUUCAGCCAGAGCCCACAAUGGGAAGAUGUUUCUGUGUGCUGCGCAGUGUAGCAUGCAGUUCUUCAUGAACACCCCCGUGGUUUCCUGUUGAGGAAAAUCGCCAUCUUCCAAUUGAGAAUCGAUUAUGAGCUUUGCAGCACUGUGAAGAGUUGUAGGGUCUCAAUCCAUCUGCCCAUCACAAAUUAGACCCAUCAUCGCCCAAGA
rnacentral:misc_RNA from 1 species